CACAGAGGAGCUUGCUCCUCGGGUGACGAGUGGCGGACGGGUGAGUAAUGUCUGGGAAACUGCCCGAUGGAGGGGGAUAACUACUGGAAACGGUAGCUAAUACCGCAUAACGUCGCAAGACCAAAGUGGGGGACCUUCGGGCCUCACACCAUCGGAUGUGCCCAGAUGGGAUUAGCUUGUAGGCGGGGUAACGGCCCACCUAGGCGACGAUCCCUAGCUGGUCUGAGAGGAUGACCAGCCACACUGGAACUGAGACACGGUCCAGACUCCUACGGGAGGCAGCAGUGGGGAAUAUUGCACAAUGGGCGCAAGCCUGAUGCAGCCAUGCCGCGUGUAUGAAGAAGGCCUUCGGGUUGUAAAGUACUUUCAGCGGGGAGGAAGGUGUUGAGGUUAAUAACCUCAGCAAUUGACGUUACCCGCAGAAGAAGCACCGGCUAACUCCGUGCCAGCAGCCGCGGUAAUACGGAGGGUGCAAGCGUUAAUCGGAAUUACUGGGCGUANAGCGCACGCAGGCGGUCUGUUAAGUCAGAUGUGAAAUCCCCGGGCUUAACCUGGGAACUGCAUUUGAAACUGGCAGGCUUGAGUCUCGUAGAGGGGGGUAGAAUUC
rnacentral:rRNA from 1 species